rnacentral:rRNA from 1 species
AACGAACGCUGGCGGCAGGCCUAACACAUGCAAGUCGAGCGCGCCUUCGGGUGAGCGGCGGACGGGUGAGUAACGCGUGGGAAUAUGCCCUUCUCUACGGAAUAGUCCUGGGAAACUGGGGGUAAUACCGUAUACGCCCUUUGGGGGAAAGAUUUAUCGGGGAAGGAUUAGCCCGCGUUGGAUUAGGUAGUUGGUGGGGUAAUGGCCUACCAAGCCGACGAUCCAUAGCUGGUUUGAGAGGAUGAUCAGCCACACUGGGACUGAGACACGGCCCAGACUCCUACGGGAGGCAGCAGUGGGGAAUCUUAGACAAUGGGGGCAACCCUGAUCUAGCCAUGCCGCGUGAGUGAUGAAGGCCUUAGGGUUGUAAAGCUCUCUCAGCUGGGAAGAUAAUGACGGUACCAGCAGAAGAAGCCCCGGCUAACUCCGUG